rnacentral:lncRNA from 1 species
AAAUCUCUUCCUUGUUGCAGGAAAUCCAGAAUCCUUUGUUGCUCAUAACAGAGAAGGCAACACAUGGAGCCCGAUCCUCAGAAGGAACCUGCAAGAUUGGGAGGUGGAGGAUUACAUAGACCUGCUAAAGUUAUUGGAGAGCUGCACUAUAAACACUCAGCUGAAGGACACACUGAAAUGGGAAAACGCAAAGGAUGGAACUUACUAUGUCAAGGCAGGGUAUGCUAAAUUGUGCUCCAACAAUAUGAUGAUUGAUCUAUGGCCUUGGAAACUAGUAUGGAAGACAAAACUGCCACCCAAAGUCUGCUGCUUCAGCUGGUUGGCCUUAAAGAAUGCAUGCCUCACCCAAGACAACCUUACCAGAAGAAACUUUCAACUGGCCAACAAGUGUUACAUGUGCCAAGUUAACUCAGAAUCUGUUAACCAUCUUCUCCUCCACUGUUCAAUAGCCACAGACAUAUGGAACAUGUUUCUCAGUAUUUUUGGUCUACACUGGACAAUGCUAUUCUCUGCCAGAGAUGCAUAUGUGAGCUGGACCUCAAGGGAAGUUGGCAGAACCAUCAAAAAAGUCUGGAAUAUGGUACCUGCAAGCAUUUUUUGGUGUAUUUGGGUCGAAAGGAAUAGUAGAUGUUUUGAUGGAUUAUCAACUUCAAUAGGUUGCUUAAAGGCUAGAUGUUUGGUUAAUUUGUUUCACUGGGCUAACCUUACUACUAUAAAAACCUCUGAUGUUUUCUUGGACUUUGUCAGCUCUCUAGUUUUGUAGCGCUUAAUUGUAAAUGAGCUGUCAAACUCACUUCUUUUGUAACUUUUGCAUCUUCUUGAUGCCUUUAAUGAUAUAUUCCACUUACUUCAUAAAAAAAAACACCAAAAAAGGCCUCUAAUAAAAUAUAAAGAGAAUGUUUAUCAUGAGUGUGAAUCAUGGAAGAAUCAUGAGUCUGAAUCACGAAAGAAUCCAAAUUUGAACUUCCUGUUAUCCUUUUCCCAGAAAAUUAUACAAACUACAUCAGCAUGACGAGUUUCAAAUGUUAGCAAACCCUAGAAGAACUACCAAACUGGCCAAAGGGAGCAGACAAGCGAUAGAACAAUAAAAUUAACUUUAAGCUCCGCAUCAAGUAAACUUAGGAAGCAAUAAAAAAAAUUCAAACAAAUCAAGGCCAAUAUGACACUCGCAUAAAAAGCUAAGAUAUAAAGUUAAAGUUCAAGAAUAAGGUAAGUGAACUUCCACAAAGACUGUAGACGGAAAGACAGGAAAAAUCACAGAAAGAUAAGACACAAGUCUCAUACAAAGAAUAUAGAUCAAUUUAACACUAAUAAAACAGAAAUUUCAGCAGACUAAAUAAAUAAAAGGUUUGUACUAACCUUGAAAAUGUCUCCUGCAUAAGUAGCUGCUCAAUUAGGUGCUUCGUUGUACUUCUCUCUCCACUUAAUUGAGGAUCCUUCAUUCCAAAAAGAAAGUUAAAAAGAGUAUAAAUAUUUCUUUUUUGAUAAUCCAAAAGUAAUUAAUCAUAUUACACCAACUUGGUGUCGAAAACUUUGCAAGUAAAUCUUUCGUUUUCAGCUCAAAAGUAUCUACCCAACUCUACAAAUGGUAUUUUCCUUUUCUACUAAAAAAAAAAAAAAAAUGACGAGAAAGGGGCCUUUUUAUUCUCCAUGAUGUGUUCAAAAGUGCGUCUAUUUCUCUCUCUCCGUUAAACAAAAAAGGACAUGUUGCAAUUACAACUCGUGCUUCCUUCCUAGCCUUGUUCAUCCUCUUCAAUGUUCUACUUGCUAAGGUACUCAGUACUCAGUAGUGUAUUCAAUAACACUCAAUUUAUGCCAAAAAAUACAAAAGUCCAUAAAUCAUGAACAUACUAGUAAUGCAUAUACAUAUGAUCAACAUCCUCUUCUUGUUUUUUUUUUGCAUAAAGAUGCGGUCUCUUCUCUACAUUAUUGUUAUGAUGGCGUUUCAAAUGCACAAACUCAUAGUCGUGACAAUAUGUUGAUGGAAGGUGAUGGGACAAGGUAGACCUAGCCACCUAGGGGAGUAAGAGAAUGAAUUUUAUGAGACGGAUUCUCAACGAUGGACAAGGUAGACCUAAAAAUACAUGAAGAAACGUUGUCUUAAAAGACCUACAAUCUCUGGAAUAUUAUGGAAUUGGCCAAGAAUAGAACACUAUGGAGGAAAAGGGUCCAUCUAGACGAUACCAACUAGUUGGUAUUAAGGUUGAACUAUUCUAUCACACUUACUUAAGGUCUAGUAUUUACCAGGAAUUUUAUUCCAGUUAAAGAUUUGUGUCCGUGUACGGAUAAGCAAGGUAUAUAGGUAACUUCUUGCUUUAAAGAACCUCUAACUUGCCUCAGAAAACAAAUAAUUUAGUACUAAAUGAAAUGGACAUGAACAGAAUGCAAUGCUUACAGAGUAUUCACAUGACCUAGCUCAACUAGUUUGGGACUGAAUGAUAGUUGAUUGAUUAUUAGGAAGACAUUCCAUGUUGAACACCAUGCAAUAGACCUUUCUCAAGACACGAGUUGUAUAUAAAUUACCAUGUAGGCAUUUCAUAUCCUUCUAAAAUCUUUCUGUCCGUGAUGACCAAUGGAAGGAUAUGAAAUGCAACAACAACAACCAUUGGUCAUCACGGACAGAAAGAUUUUACAAGGAAACUAUAUUUUCUAGAUCAACCAACUCUUUCCUGCGAUUAACUUAGGAAUCAAUUUAAGAUAUAACCAUAAAAUCUUUAUGAAAAAGUCCUCCAACUUGUCCAGUUCCUGGCCACGGUAAGGUCUCCUGAAUUGUAGGUUCCACGAUAUGUUAACAUUAUUCCUGGUUAGGAAAUUUGCCAUCAUUAUAAACUUUUUUCUGUGAAACAUAAUUCACUUUCAAUUUCCUAACUAAAAUUAAGUAGUCUCCGAUUCAACUUGCGCACAACUCGACUAUUCCACUGGGUAUCUCCUACCUCUCAUCGACAUAGGUAUCGAGUAACACUAUCCACCAAAGCUUAGGCAGAAGAUACAAAUCACCUAAUGUUUUUUGUCUCUACUGAAAUUUGAACCCUAUUCUCCAAGUUUGCAUUCACUUCAUUGACCACUAAACUACUAGACCACUCCCCUCACAAUGUUUUUCAACAUAUUUUCCCCAUAUGAGUACUUCUAUUUAUAUAAGCCUAUAUGAGUAUGUCAUCUCUUCUAAAAGUUAUUCACUCAUACCACUCCCGUAUUUUAUAACAAUUAUGCUCUCCCAUGAAGUAUCAUCUUUUAAUAGCAAAUCCCCAUAGACACUUUCCUAACCGUGCUUUACUUUUUGGAUAAAUUCUAACUGUGCUUUAUUGAAAGUAGUUUUUUUUGCGGUUACCUAGGCUUACUUCGAAUAAAGGGGUAGUCACCUAGUUCCAUUCCACAGGAGGAUACUACUUCACUCCACUUGUGUAGAAAUUCAUGACUAGUUCUUCAGUUCUUGCCACUACUAUUGGAAUACAAAAUAGAGAAAGAUAGUAUGUAGGAAUAUUGGAUUAUGAGGACUAUCUUUCCUCAGAGGUAAUAAUCUCCUAACAGCACAGCUCAAAAAUGAAAACAGGUAAAAAUGGUCCUCUAUUUUUCUCCUUUACAUUGACAGAGGGCAGACAACAAAGGCGAACCACAUUAAUACAUGCUAACCAACUCACCUAUCAAAAAAAAAAAGAACAUCCAAACCAACGGUAUCCCCAUUAAAAAGGAAACCCUAUAUGCUACAGAUAACUCUCAUCCAAACCAACCGAACAAACUAGUAUCACAAGGAGAAAUAUGGUACAAAAUCACAAACACUUAAAUAUGCAACAGAUAACUUUCACCCAAACCAACCGAACAAACUAGUAUCACUAGGAGAAUCAUGGUACAAAAUCACGCAAUUCUUAAUGCUUGAAAAUCAAUAACAUAAGCAGAUUUGUGAAAUUACCUUGCUUAACUCAUCCACUUCCAAGCCAAUAUCAUUAUGUUCUCUAGCAUCAUCCGCUACAAUAAAAGCCAGACGUCAAGCUAGUCGAGGAACAAAUAGAAAAUGAGAGGACAAUCCCAUGAGAACUAGUUUUAUCAGCCACUAUGGUAUUUGAAUUAUACAGAGAUGAAACAAUGCUAAAUUGUCAAAGAGAUAGUUAAUAGUACCGGCACAAGAGAGCUUUACAUAUUUAAAGCUUGAAUGAGGCAUUCUUCCUACACAUGUCAAGACUAUAUAAUGAAUGCAAGGGAGUUUCAAAAUUCCAAGUGGCACAUAGAACAAGCAAUGCAUCUCGACAUGCAUAACUCAUACGCGGGAUAUUGCGAGCAAUUUGAUUUGAGGCAAAACCAUAGUGCAAUCGGCGUUAAGGGCUGCACCAAGUACAGUAGGCGAGAUUUUUCCUACUACCUUUU